GACGAACGCUGGCGGCGUGCUUAACACAUGCAAGUCGAACGGAAAGGCCCUGCUUUUGUGGGGUGCUCGAGUGGCGAACGGGUGAGUAACACGUGAGUAACCUGCCCCUGACUUUGGGAUAACCUCAUGAAACUGGGGCUAAUACCGGCUAGGAGCUCCUGCUGCAUGGUGGGGGUUGGAUAGUUUAGGCGGUUGGGGAUGGACUCGCGGCCUAUCAGCUUGUUGGUUGGGUAGUGGAUUACCAAGGCUAGGACCGGUAGCCGGCCUGGGAGGGUGACCGGACACAUCAGGCUGGAGAUACGACCCAGACUAGAACGGGAGGCAGGGGUGCAGAAGAGUGCAUAAUGGGAGGGGGCCUAGCGCGGCAAAGCCGUGUGGCGGAAGACGGGCAGGGCGUAGGAUUCCAAUGUCGCUUGAGACGGGACGAGAGUGACGGUAAUGGGUGAAGAAGCACCGGCUAACUACGUG
rnacentral:rRNA from 1 species